AUGUGACCCAGUGUUUUGUGUUAAUUAUUAUUAUCUUAUGCUUUAGGUUAGUCUGGUUAUGUCUUUUGCUAUGAUUUCUAGUUCCUAGGUUUGGUUCCCGUGCUCGCUCUGUUCCAGUUCAGUCAGGUCUCUGUGUAAAGCUCGUGUCUCUUAGUCUCUGUCUUUGCACGUGUGUUGAGUUUCUUGUUUUAUUGUGAAGGUCUGUGUCUUAUGUCAGUGUGUUCAGUUUUGCGUCCUCCCUGUCUCGUCUUGCUUAUUAGGUUCAGCUGUGUCUCCCUCCUCUGUGCAGUUUCCUCGUUUCCCUUUGUGUAUAUUAGUGUGGGUUCUCCAGUACUCAUCGUCGGUCCGUCUGCGGUUCUCUGUGCAUCAUGCCCUGGGUUUCUUCCUCCGUGUUAUCCUGCGAGUAUGGUUUUGAGUCUUGUUUGUUAGAUUUUUCCCAGUUUAGGUUUUCUUAGUUCUGUCCUUGCCAUCCGUGCUUUUGUUUGUGUUUUCACCUGUUGGAAUAAAAGCUCACUCGCAUCACAGCCUGUGCCUGCAUCUUGGGUCCUUCAUUCAUAACACCAUGUGGCUUGCCUCGCAAACCGUGACAAUAAGAAUAAAGUGAGACUAAAAAAAUUAAAG